rnacentral:rRNA from 1 species
CCUACGGGCGGCAGCAGUGGGGAAUAUUGGGCAAUGGGCGCAAGCCUGACCCAGCAACGCCGCGUGAAGGAAGAAGGCUUUCGGGUUGUAAACUUCUUUUGUCAGGGAAGAGUAGAAGACGGUACCUGACGAAUAAGCCACGGCUAACUACGUGCCAGCAGCCGCGGUAAUACGUAGGUGGCAAGCGUUGUCCGGAUUUACUGGGUGUAAAGGGCGUGUAGCCGGGUUGAAAAGUCAGAUGUGAAAUCCUGCGGCUUAAACCCAGAACUGCCAUUGAAACUGUUGGACUUGAGUACUGGAGAGGCAGACGGAAUUCCUAGUGUAGCGGUGAAAUGCGUAGAUAUUAGGAGGAACACCAGUGGCGAAGGCGGUCUGCUGGACAGCAACUGACGGUGAGGCGCGAAAGCGUGGGGAGCAAACAGGAUUAGAUACCCGAGUAGUC